ACUGCAAUGUCUGCACUUCAAGU
rnacentral:miRNA from 1 species